rnacentral:lncRNA from 1 species
AAAACAAAAUUUUACAGCCAUUGAAGUAUAUUCAAACCAAGAAAAUGGCAGCUCACAGCAUGUCUACACAACACCAUGCAAGUCUUAUUGACCUUACUUUGUGAGGAGGCAGCCUUCCAUUUUCACAACCAAGCUACCCAGAAGUUUCCUACCCAGAGAUGAUGAGGUGAUAGGAAAAGUUUCCACACUUAAUAGACUGUUAUGAACUUCGGCCGCCUUAAAGCAACAGAUGCAUGUUUCAAAGUGGUAAGCAGGAAAUGGAGUGAUAUGAGAGAGCAUGCUGCCAUAACCAUUUAAAAAGAAAUAUGUCGGCAAGAACAAAGCACCAUGCUGAGAAACUACCUUUGUAGCUCCUAGAAAGUGCAAUAUAGUAUAACUGGGGUUGAGUAUUAAAGGACUCCACUGCAAGGGAAAAAAACAAAACACAACAAAACACAAUUUGGGCUCAUUCAAGAAAAGUGGCACAAGUAAAAACCAAGGAGAAGAAUAAAAAUGCUUCUAUAAACCCUUUCUUCCACUUUCGGUGAGUGUUAGUCACAGGUUCAUUCGUUGCUCAGCUCAUCACCUCCGCAUUGUGGAUUAUGUAUCCCAACCCAAAUACACCUUGAAAGUAAUAUAUAAUGUGACUUGAGGAAGACAUCUGUGUAGGAACAUGGAAAUCCUAUGGAACACUUUCUUUUUCACAUUUUGAUUUAUUUCUGGUUCAAGUUUUAAACAAAUUCUGAAUUUUAUUGUUUCCCUCAAGCCUGAUAAAUGCUAGAGAUCCUACUACUUUCUUAACCUGGGAUUCCUAGAAAUUCAAGAAUCAUUUUCUAACGUUUACAUUUGUGUGCAAUUGUGCCAGAGGAAGCAUUUCAACAAACAGCAUGGGCAGAAACCAAGGAUUAAACACAGAACAUCACAGAAUAAAACUUCACUACUCUUAGAAAUUAGAAUCCUUAGUGCCCCUCCCAUACCAGCCGAUGUACAGCUAAACAUUAUACCCUCUAAUUCA